rnacentral:rRNA from 1 species
CCUACGGGUGGCAGCAGUGAGGAAUAUUGGUCAAUGGACGAGAGUCUGAACCAGCCACGUCGCGUGAAGGAUGACUGCCCUAUGGGUUGUAAACUUCUUUUAUAAAGGAAUAAAACGAGGUACGUGUGCCUUUUUGCAUGUACUUUAUGAAUAAGGCUCGGCUAACUCCGUGCCAGCAGCCGCGGUAAUACGGAGGAUCCGAGCGUUAUCCGGAUUUAUUGGGUUUAAAGGGAGCGUAGAUGGUAUGGUAAGUCAGUUGUGAAAGUUUGCGGCUCAACCGUGGAAUUGCAAUGGAUACUGGUGGGCUGGAGUGCAGUUGAGGUAGGCGGAAUUCGUGGUGUAGCGGUGAAAUGCUUAGAUAUCACGAAGAACCCCGAUUGCGAAGGCAGCUUACUAAACUGUGUCUGACGUUGAUGCUCGAAAGUGUGGGUAUCAAACAGGAUUAGAUACCCCAGUAGUC